rnacentral:rRNA from 1 species
GCCGCACGCGCGCUACACUGACAGAGCCAGCGAGUAAAUCACCUUGGCCGAAAGGUCUGGGUAAUCUUGUUAAACUCUGUCGUGCUGGGGAUAGAGCAUUGCAAUUAUUGCUCUUCAACGAGGAAUGCCUAGUAAGCGCAAGUCAUCAGCUUGCGUUGAUUACGUCCCUGCCCUUUGUACACACCGCCCGUCGCUACUACCGAUUGAAUGGCUAAGUGAGGCCUCGGGACUGGCUCAGAGAGGUCGGCAACGACCACUCAGAGCUGGAAACUUGUUCAAACUUGGUCAUUUAGAGGAAGUAAAAGUCGUAACAAGGUCUUCGUAGGUGAACCUGCGGAGGGAUCAUUACCGAGUUAGGGUCCUCAUCGGGCCCGACCUCCCAACCCAUUGUUUAUGAUACCUAGUGUUGCUUCGGUAGGCCUGGUCUAUCUGUUAUAGACCUGCCGGGGGGCCGUAAGACGCCCGCCGGAGAGUGCCUACCGACAGCCUCAACUCCAAAAUUCUUUAACCAAACGUGUCUUUGUCUGAGUAACGUCUUUUAAAAUAAAGCAAAACUUUCAACAACGGAUCUCUUGGUUCUGGCAUCGAUGAAAAACGCAGCGAAAUGCGAUAAGUAAUGCGAAUUGCAGAAUUCUCGUGAGUCAUCGAAUCUUUGAACGCACAUUGCGCCCUUUGGUAUUCCGAAGGGCAUGCCUGUUCAACGUCAUUUUCCCCCUCAACCCCCGGCUUGUGUUGGAAGGUUGGUCCGGGGACUCAACCCCUGGACCCUCCCAAAAAUGA